UUCUCUCGCAGUUCGCCUUCAAAAAGCAGAAGUGCGCAGAUGUCUUUGGAGUAACCCCAUCUGAACACUCGAAACUGAUUUUUCACUUUUGUUUAUUUUAUUAUUAUUAUACAGUUCUCUGGAAGCUCUCUUGAACUGUCAGGUUUUAGAGCACUCAGCCACAGAAUUAGAAUUUCUCUAAGUAGGACCUCUGAGCCUUCUUUUAUGUAAAAGUGGGGUUGCCCUGUCAAAAGCUGUGCUUUAGAAAAUACUCCCAAAUCUCAUUAGCCCAGUUAGAAGAGUUAACUGCACAAGUAGCUGGCAGACUGCAUAAAGAAGGAUGUCAGUUUCUGUAAGUUCAGUAUAUCUGUGUUUUGUUCAGCAGCAGCUGAAAACUUCUUUGGUUUUAACCAAUCAAGCUUGAGGAUAGGCUUUCUGGAACAAUCUCUGAGGACCAGGAAUCACUGAACACACUGUAUGUUUCCUUCAUUCUGAGCGUGGGUAAAAAGAUCUGUAUUAGAUGGUAGGCAAGGUUGUUCUCUAAUGCUGUGCUCUUCUGAAAGGUUUUAGACAGUGCUGGUGGUAGAAGUGCAUCACUAUGAAGUCACUGACAUAAGUGUACCACACCCAGACAGAGCAGCAUCUCUGUGGCUGAGGAGACAGCCUAGCCCUGCCUUGUUCACGACUGGCCUCACAGCUUAGUGCCAGAGCCACCCUUCCUGCCAGUACUGGGCAAUCUCAGCCUUCCUUCAAGCCCAUAGGGGAAAAAAAAUCCAUUUCCAACAGGAUAAAAGUGGAAAAGAAGCUGCAACAUCACAAAGGAGAACAGCAAACUGGGAGGUUGUCAGAUUUGUUUGGCCUCAUACCCAGAGCUCCUGAAAACUUCCCUUUUAUGGGUUAACUGACACUCAUCCUGCUCCUUCACUUAUGGACAAUUCUCUAGAGUCUUGCUAUGGCCAGGAAACAAUCCAGAGAUUUCAAUUCACUCCAUCCUCCAUCUGACAUGUUCAUCGGGAAGAAAGGAAAUGACCAACAUUCCCUGCCCAGGGAGCCCUGUAACUAUCCAGAAUUAGACCAUUUGAUGGGAAAUCUCAAAUUUGUUAUU